AGAGUUUGAUCCUGGCUCAGGAUGAACGCUGGCGGCGCGCCUAACACAUGCAAGUCGAACGGUUAAAGCACCCUCGGGUGUGCAUAAAGUGGCGAACGGCUGAGUAACACGUGGGCAACCUGCCCCUCGCACCGGGACAGCCUCGGGAAACCGUGGAUAAUACCGGAUACUCCGCAGCCCCCGCAUGGGGGAGGCGGGAAAGCCCUGGCGGCGAGGGAUGGGCCCGCGGCCUGUUAGCUAGUUGGUGGGGCAACGGCCCACCAAGGCGAUUAUGGGUAGCUGGGUUGAGAGACCGACCAGCCAGAUUGGGACUGAGACACGGCCCAGACUCCUACGGGAGGCAGCAGUGGGGAAUCUUGCGCAAUGGGCGAAAGCCUGACGCAGCGACGCCGCGUGCGGGACGAAGGCCUUCGGGUCGUAAACCGCUUUCAGCAGGGACGAGGCCGCGAGGUGACGGUACCUGCAGAAGAAGCCCCGGCUAACUACGUGCCAGCAGCCGCGGU
rnacentral:rRNA from 1 species